AAAUAACCUGCAAAUAACCAGUUUUCAAAAAAAGGGCUAUUCUAAUUCACUACAAGAAAUUUGUAGAUUUGCGACACUUGAUUUGCAACAGUUCAAUGGGAACAGUCGCAAUCUAACAUUUGCGACACUUCUUGCAACCUUUUUUUACAACCGCCGCAUCAUUUUUUUACUUAUGACAUUGCUUUUACAUUAUCAUGUAGCUUUCUCUCUCUCUCUCUCUCUUGUCUGCACACGCGCAAUUUCCCUUCCCUCUCAUUAUCAAUAAACCCCCAAAUCUCCAAAAUAACAAAAAAGAGAGAAAACUCCAAAAUUUAACUCAUUUACCAAACCCCCAAAUCGCCAAUCUCACAAACCCUCUCACUUUUGUUUCCAGAAAAUCUCCACACCCUCGAUUCAACCCAUGAAAAUCCAAGCGCGAGUCCAGCACUUCACGACUGAAUGUGAGAUUGAGAUUCAACCUACAAUUCAGAUCCAAAUGAGUCUAGCCCUUCAAACAUUUCACCGUACAAACAAUUCAAGGUCAAAGGUAUCUUUUCUUGAAAUCUCAGCGCGCAAGGUCCUAGGGUUUGCAAGAACUCGGCUACGGCGGGAUUUCCGGUAAAUGUGUUAUCUCAUAUUGCUGAAGUGAAAUUCUACUAUGAUGGCCUUGCUUCCAUUAAGAAAUUGAUACAAAAGCACCUUGAGCAAGAUAAGAGGGUGCUACAUGGUGAUAAUCAGGAUGGAGAGACCACUGUUAACAUGCUUGAUAAUUCAUGUUCUUCCAUAAAUGCUUCAGACGAGAAGAAUUAGUUAUAAAGAAGCAUUUCAGAAGAGUUCAGGCAUGUCCACUGCUCUCCUUUAAAGCAGGUUGCAAAACGACUUAAAGCUAUACGUUUCAACCAUACAAUAUGAAACAUGUUCCUGUUGUUGAGAUAGAACCAAUGAAAACUCAGCAAUGGAUACAAUUUUGAGUUUGGAGAGCUAGAAGAAGCAAUUGUUAUGCAAGGAUUGAAAUGAUGAAACAUAAGCAUCUAUGGUGUACGGGUUACAUCUCCGGAGCUUCGAGCCAUUGUCAAACAUGUUUCUGUUGCAUCCAUGGAGGUCGUGUUGAUGAUAAUGAAGGAUGACAUAAAGGAGAGAAGAUGGCACCUAUUAUUUCGGAAAAUGGAGCAGAUCUAUCUGUUUGGAGAUCAACUCCUACAUAAUCAAGGUAAUCAUACCCACCCAACAUAUCAUAUGUUGACCUUUUGUCCAAUUCUAUUGAAUGUUAUUGUAAAUUAUUUUCAAAGAAUCAAAUAAUGCAACAAAGAUGCUUCCAAAUUCCAAUUCCGUAGAGCUCUUUGUUAAACCUAAUUUACACCCUGGACAUAUUGCAUAAAAAGUAAAAGAUUCAAUUUUUCUUUCACACUUUAAUCAUCUUCCCUUUCAAAAUAAAUUUUGAACUUUUGAGAUAUUCUGAUAAUUGUAUUCUUUUGUUCUACCUUCAUGUUACUGUUGUGAUUUCUUCAAGAGUCCCAUGAGUUGAUUGUGGAAGAGAAAUGCAUAAACAACAUGAAGGAAAAACAACCAUAACUAAGCUAGCAAAGAGUAUGAAGGGUUUUAGCAUAGCAUAGAUCAUUGAGUCCCUUGCAAAGUUAAAUAAUUGCACCGAUCAACAUAGAUGAUUCCUGCUUGUAUUUUACGUCUACGUCUUUUACUUGCACACUAUUUGAUACCGUUUCAUACUUUAUAAUGAUAUGUGUUUCUGUUUGUCCUCCUCCUCAUUCGUGAAAUAUUUCCAUACCCUAUAGUUUAUAUCAGCCUAUUUUUUAUUUUUAAUUCUUUCGUUUUUUCAUUCUAAGUUCUGAUCAGUAAUAUCUACUUUCAUAUGUGCAUCAAAUUAUAAAUUACUUCUGUCAAAAAUUCAACAUGUCUAUCAAAAAAUAGCCACGGAACGCAGUGGGGGAAUGGUGGUUUUGGGAAAUUCAACAUGUCUAUCAUGUGUGGCGAUUCUCCACUGAUCAGUGUAGGUCUUGCACCCGUUGGGAUUAGCUUCAACGACAUCCAUGGUCUCCCUUAUAAUGCAGAUGCAUGAGUAUUGUGUGGUAUACAUUCUCCGGGUGGCUUUUUUGUUGUGCAAUAAUUGGUCUCCUCGUGCCUUUUAUAGUGGCUAUCUGGUUGUUAUUUUUUAAGGAUAUUUAGACUUUGAGUUCUAUUAUUGUUUAGAAUUUUGGAUGGAACCUUACUGCAUUGUGAUGAUGCCAUUGCUAUCUUAAGUUAAAUAACUCAAGAUUAUGGUUUACUAUGAUCAUGAUUUAUAACUUUUCACAA